GAGCACAGGUGUGCCGUGCAUGACCGGACGGAUGUCGCCCAAUCGGAAUGAAGGGAGGGCGGGAUCAGUGAAAACCACGUGAUCAUCCACGAGUGCGGUGCAGAGUCGCUGAGAUAACCGGAACUGCAGAUGCUGGAGAAUCCGAGAUAACACGGUGUGCAGCUGGAUGUACACAGCAGGUCAAGCAGCAUCAGAGGAGCAGGAAAGCUGACGUUUCGGGCCUAGAUCCUUCGCUGAGACCAAGAUUUGUGCAAUUGAGGAGAUUUUAUUCAGGAGCUGAAACUCGAUGAUGCAGAGUCAGAGAAUCAAAUCAUUCUGCAGUGAGGAAUCGUCAGACAGGAGCUGGGACCAGAGAGACCGAGACUGAGAGAAUUAUAAUCAACCAUCCAGUGUCCUUGUCGUUCACUUACACACUCACAUGCUCACAGGGGAAAUGAAUUGUGGGGCUCAGGCAGUCUCUGGAGUUUGGACCACAAGGGCGUGAGCUCUGGGCUGGGACUUGGGGGAGACAAAGGGGCAAAAAUGGGGCUGCUACACAGUCUGAUCCCACAGAUUUUACUGCCUUCCUCUGCCUCCAUAUUCCCAGCUUCUUGUCUCUCUCACAGCUUUCUAUAAAUCCCCUUCUCCCCUCCAUCCUUCAAAUCUCCCCCUAUCCACUGUACACAGGCUGUUAAAAGGAGAACAGAGUGGGGAUGAAUUCACAGGUUGAUGCUAGGGUAACAGAAUGGGGAUGGGUUCAGAGGUCAAUGCUAGGGUAACAGAAUGAAGAUGGGUUCACAGGCCAAGGCGAGGAGAACAGAGUGGGAAUGCGUUACUAGGUCAUUGCUAAAGCAGCAGUGUGGGGCUGUGUUCAAAGGCCAUAGCUGGUAGAACAGAGCGGGGGUGCGAGGAGAACAGAGGAUGCAUUCACGGGCUGCUGCACAGGGACAUACUAAGGAAGGGUUCUCUGGCCUAUGCUAGCACAACAGAAUGGGGAUGGGCUCACCGGCCAUCCCUCGGUAUAAUAGUGUGGGAAUGAGUUAACAGGCCAUUUUCUAUGAGAACAGUUUCAGGAUACGUUCACACAUCGCUGCUAGGAGAACAGAGUGUGGGAUGGGUUUGUAGUCUAUGGUUAGAGGAACAUUGUUAGGAUGGGUUCAUAGGCCAUUGCAAGGAGAACAAGUGGGAGUGGGUUAACAGAUCAUUGCGAGGGGAACAAGAUUAAGAUGGGCUCACAGGCCAUUGCUAGAGGAACAGAAUGGGGAUGGGAUCACAGACUAUUGCUAUAAAACUAAAUUGGGAUUGUGUCCCCAAGUCACUGCUCGGAGAACAGUGUGGAGAUGGUUGAAAAGUCUGGUGCUAAGGCAAAAGCGUGAGGAUUGGUUCACAGGCUGGUGCAAGUGAUACAGUAUUGAUGGUUUCACAGACUGUUUCUGGCAGAGCAGAUUGGGAACGGUGUCACGGGCAGUUGUCAGUGCAGCAGAGUGGAGGUGGUUUCACAGGCCGUUGCUCGGGGAAGAGAGUAGGGAUUGGCUGACAGACUGUUACUAAGGGAACAGAGGCAGGAUCAGUUCACACGUUGUUGCUACGAGAACAUUUUGUGGAUGUUCAACAGGUUGUUGCUUGGGGUACAGUGGAGAUGUGGUCACAGACAUUUGCAAUGAAAUUGGGGAUGGGUAUGAGCCUGUUGCAAGGGGAUCAGAGUGGGGAUGGAUUCAUAGGCCUUUCCAAGGGCAACCGUCUAAGGAUCUGCUCACAGGCCUUGACUCGGGCAACACAGUGGCAAUGGGCUCACAGAUUGUUGCUGGGGGAACAGAUUGGGAAUGUUUCACAUGCUGUAGCUACAAGAAAAGACUGGUCAUGUGUUAAUAAGUUGUUGCAAGAAGAAGGGAAUGCAGACGUGUUUACAGGUCAUUGAUAGGAGAACAGUGGAGAUGUGUUGACAGGCCAUUGCUAGCUUAACAGAAUGGGGAUGGGCUUACAGGCUUUUGCUCUUGGAGAAUAGUGUGGAUGGUUCACAGGGAGAGAAAAAGUGUAGAACCGACACAGAGAGAGAUCAACAGACAGACCGAGAGGGAAACAGAGGGAUGCAUAGAUUGAUUUGUUGUCACAUGUACUGAAAUACAGUAAAAUAUUUUGUUUAUGAGUGGUACAGAUCAGAUCGGAUCCAGGCAGAGUCAGCAUGGUUUACAAAAAGGAAUCCAUGCUUGAGGAAAAUGUUCAAUUUAAAAAAAAACACUAGCCCAAUCACUGUAACUCCUGGGAAACUCAGGCUGCAAAUCACAGCACUCGGUCCCCACUGAAAUCAACUGAUUCACAACACUCCGAUUUUGCAUCUCUUUUUGCUUCUGGCCCUGUCUCACCUUCACCUCCCUCAGCCCAGCCAGAUCCAAUGUCAAUUAGUGCUCAAUGCCAAUGCAGGCCAAUGGCAAAUCCAAUGUUUACCUGGAAAGCGAGCAGGAGGAACACAAGACACAAGGUGUUACAACGUGAUGGGGUUGUCGAUGACAGGUUAGAGAGGCACAAGGAUCUCAUCUUUAUGCUCCCAUGUACUAGUUAGAUGAAUAUGCUCAGUGCACAUUACUCCUUCUACAUUCAUCAGUCUUGUGCUUGUGUUUAAGUUUUGAAAAUGGCUUUGAACGUGAGACAAGUGGAGCUGUAACAAUCCCAUGGUAUUCAGCAGCAAGAAAAUACCAAUCAGGCUUUUCAAAAAUGGGUAUCUUCUGAGAUCGUGAGCCACAUGGAAGAAUGAGAACUGUCUCACUGGGGGUCUCCAUGUCUACUUUCAAAGUCUGCUCGAGGCGACCAGAAACUUUGCUGAAUUUGUAAGUUUAUCGAGAGUAGUGCUGGAAUACAGGGAAAUUGCAAAGUUUAGUCAUUUGUUAAACAGAAGUUGCAAGAAUAUAUCCAACUGUUACAGACAAGCCAAUUUACUUCGGGUGCUUGGAAACUUGUAGACGCAACGGUGAAGGCAAAAUGAAGAGUUACAUGGGCAAAGAUCAGUCAAUUCAUGGGAAGUUGCCAUACAUUUCUCCAGGAGACAUGAUGUUAGUUAACUUGCUGUUAAUGACCUACGUUUUCUUUUCAACGUGUGAAAUAUGGGGUUGAUCAGAGGAAUACAGUUCAUGUUUGUCCAAGACUUCCAGAAAGUAUGUGAUUCAAUGUUAUUGAGCUGACCCGUGAGUUUAUGUAUUUGGGGAAAAUAACUACAAUAACAAUCCAUGUACAAAAUUGGCUGAGAGAAAGGAAAUACAACAGUGGCUUUGGAUAUUUUUUGGGAUAGUUGAAUGAAUCUAUUGAAAUUCCCUCGGUGGCGAUGUUGAGACCCUUGUGUUUUCCAAAUAUAUAUUAAUGCUCUAAACAUAGGACUACAGGGGACAGGAUCAAUAUUUGUGCAUACGUUAGGAUUCAGAAACAGAGAAAAAUGUGAGCAGAAUGGUACAAAGAAGAACAACACAGCAAAGGAACAGGUACUUUGGGCCACCAAGACUGUGCUGAUACAUGAUGCCUUUCGAAACUAAAAACCUUUUGUUUCUGUGCAAUCCAUAUCAGUUUAUUCUCUGCCUAUUCACCUAUCUCUCAUAUCCACCUUUACCACCCCCUCUACUAGUGUAUUCCAAGCACUUACAACCCUCUGUCUAAACGCUUGCCUCUUACAUCUCCUUUAAACAUACACCCUUUUGCCUUAAACUUAGGUCCCAUAGUAAUUGACAUUUUCACCUGAGAAAAUACUUCACUCUCCAUUCAAUCAAUGCCUCUCAUAAUUUUCUGGAAACUUGUGUAAAGUUAGUGGGGUGUGUGGAUCAGAGGUGGAUGAAUUUCAAUGUGGAGAAGUGUCAGGCCACACAUUUUGAUGGGAUGAAUGUACAUCAGCAAUAUAAAAUAAAAGGUGCAACUCUAAAGGUGUGGCAAGGAUAGAAUGACCUGGGUAUAUAUGUGCAUAAGUAAUUGAAUGUAGAAGGAUAGAUUAAACGAGAAUUUAUUAGACCCUACGAUAUUGUGUUUUAUUAUUAGUGCCUUUGAGUACAACAGCAAGGUGGUUCAGAUUUCUCAAUGGCAAUGAACAGGGUUUUGUUUCUAGGUUUCAUUCAGACACAUUAGGAUUGCAGCAAGAGCAAGUGGCCAAUUGUCUGGUUGGGUGGAUGGAGAAGCCUGAUUCAUUCAUAUGAAAACCUAGGAUAGAAACUUAUGGCCCUGAGGAGACGCUAUCCUCAAAUUGAGUGACUGCUGGCCACGCUGAGGGAUAUUGUACAGCAGGGAGGAUAGUCAGUCAUCCUGAGCUAUGAAGAGGGGAUGUUGUGAACAUCUGUCCUGGACUGACGGUUGGAUUUUUGAAACUCCUUUUAUCAGAGCUCAGAGUGGCUGGUACACACAGGAAAACUCAAAUCAAUUGAAAUGAUUAUCUCUUCUGAAUGGCUCGCUAUGGCUGAUGGAGAUUGAUUUUACAAACUAACUCAUAGAAUUUCCACGGAUUAACCUCAGUUACAUCACCCGAUUCCAAGGGAUUUCCUUAAUUUUGAAACUAUUCUCUGACACGGAACUUUUGAAAUCUUUCCAGCUGCAGAUUCCAGCAGAUCUUAAUAUUGUCAUCAAUAAGACUGUUUCAGGGCUAAAUUUUUUUAAUGAGUCAUUAAUAAUUUAGGGAUUUUAUUGUUGUCCUGUGUUAUUUGGGAGAGGUUCAAUGUCUCUGCACCUGGAGUGACACCUUUGCUUGGGAUCUGAAUCCAUGUUAAUCUAUUGCUCUCUUUCACUGGUGGGCGGAGGGCACUCUUUCUGUGCUGUAAAUCUGUAUAACUCUGUCCAUCUGUAUGGCUUUAUGACCCUUGCUUUCCUUGAUCACCUCUCUGCCAUUAUCGAACUUCCACUGCCUCCAAUCAUGCAUGUAUUUUAGAUUCUGUUUCGGGCUACACAUUUACUGUGUCUUCUCCCACUGCCCAUCCCCUCACUAUGUGCGACUGGCUUACCAGCAUGAUGUUCCCACAUUAUCUUUCACAGGAAUUGAUUCUUAAGUGCAACAGUCCACCUGUUUUCCACUUCGGAGAUAAUAUUAACAAUCACAUUCAGCAGCAUUCCUCACCUCCACCUAAAGGUUGGGAGAUUUUGGCAAACAGCAUUUCCUUUUGUCUCUUCACAACAGAUAACGCAUUAGCCACAGCCAACCAGUUUGUGGUUACAGUGCUCAAAUAUUAAUAGUGCCCAAUUAAUAUUAAUAACACCUCCUUCAACUCAACCAGACAGGGGCCAGCCCUUCUUUAGUUGAGGUCUCCAGUGAUGCUUUGAAAAAUCAGAGUCAAUCUGUCUGCGUGAAAUUUAAACAAAGUUUGGUCAUCAUCUAACUGGUGCAUUUUCCUGGUAAUGCCUUGACCAAUCAGAGUCUAUUAUUCGCCCAGUCAGGUCAUGACAGUAUAAAACGUUUGUUCCCUUUCCAUUGGUGCUUAUUGUGAAUGAACCGAAAUGUGCAAGACAAAAAGCUUUGAUGAAACUUGCCUUUUUUGCAUACAGUUAGACAUUAUUGAACUGUUGUACAUUGUUGUGGCUCGGCCUCUCUCACAAUGCCACCACACAAGGCCUUGUAGAUGAUUAUGGAGGAACAAUGUGUAUUGUGGUUGAUUAAUUAUUUCAAUAAAUAAAGAGAGGACAGAACUGUGA